CAAGCUAGCAGUCCAUAGAAAACACAAAAAGGAAACAAAAAAUUACAAUCCCUAAAAAUAGGGUUUUCUCUUAGUGAAAGCUCAGAACAGCAACAGCAGCUCAGUGAGAACUGCCGUCUAUCAAGUAAAAUUUUGAUUACUCUUGUCUCCUCCUUUCGUUCGCCCAUCUCAGGUGAAAUGUGAAAUUGCUCGUCUCCUUCAUCCUCAGGUGAAAGUUGACCUCUAUCUUUGAUAAUUUCUCUUUUUUCAUAUGUUCGGUGAGCUUCUAGUGCGGUGAAGAGGAGAUGUUGACUUCUAUUUGGUGAAAAACAACUGAGGGAAUAGGAUGGGGUUUUCAGGGAUAUGCCAAAAUUAACGUAGUGCAUUGGCUUGCUUCUACUUUGCUCUAAUUUCUGAUUUUGAAAAUUUUUCAGAUUUUUUUUAGUCUCUAACCUUGCUUGCUUAUGCUUUGCUCGACGAAAUUCUCGAUAUCGCGAAAUAACGGUGAUAAGAAUUUUUUAAGCUUUUCACUUUCUGGUCGCUGCUCGGAGAAAGGUAAAUCAUCUGGUGUAUGUGAAGCUUGAAGAAAGACGUAGACAUCCGAUUGCAAAGAUUGUAUCCAUCCCAUGAUACAGUUGCCGACAUGAGAUGACAUCAUGAGCAUACAAAAGAAGAUGGUGUAAUGAUUCAUACAUCAGAAUUUGAGGCUUGGAAGCACUUAAAUGACACUGAUCCUUUUUCUGCUAAAGAACCAAGAAAUGUAAGGGCCAAACAAUCCCAAACAUAAAAUUGAUGUUUAUUUGCAGCCUCUAAUAAAGGACUUGACUUUGUUCUGGGAGACGAGCGUGCAAUCAUUUUACAUCUCAAAAAACUUUCAACUAAGGGCAGCUUUGAUGUGGACAAUCACUGACUAUCCAUCAUAUUAUAUGUUAUCAAGAUGUACAACUGUAGGUAAGUUAGCAUGUCCCUUUUGUAUGGAGGAAACAGAAUCCUUUAUAUUGACACAUCGUAGGAUAACAUCUUGGUUUGUCUGUCAUCGGAUGUUUCUUGACCAGCAUCACCCAUUUAGGAGAGAUCAUAAAAAUUAUCUCAAAGGCAAGCUGUCCAAAGAUGACCAUGGACCUAUAGAAUAUGAGAGGAAAUAUUGAAUCAAAUUUGUGAUUUGGACAUAAGAAAAGCAAUAGAUUUAGAUGCAGAACAAGUCAAUCGAAUAAUAUGCAAGUCUUGUGGAUGGAAAAAGUGAAGCAUCUUUUGUGAUUUGCCUUAUUGGAGUUCUAACAUGAUUCAACAUAAUCUUGAUGUCAUGCAUAUUGAUAAAAUGUCUUUGAUAAUGUAUUUAACACUGUUACUUUUAAUGACAAAACCAAAGACAAUUCACAAUCACGUCAACAUACGGUAGAGUAUUGUAAUCGACAUUAAUUGGUAAAGGAUAGUAAGGGAAAUAUUCCAAAGCUGUAUAUACGAUAGAUAAGGAAGCAAGAGUUAUCUUGUUAAAUUGGGUGAAAGGUGUAAAGUCUCCAGAUGGUUAUGUUCCCAAUUUGGGUAGAUGUCCAGAAAAAAAUGUGAAAAGGAUAAAUGGCUUUAAAAGUUAUUAUUUUCAUGUGUUCAUGCGAUGAAUAUUGUAUAUUACCUUUCGCGAACUACAUCUUAUUAAUGUGUGGCAAGUACUUAAAGAAUUGAGCCUAUUUUUGAAAGAUCUUAUAUCUACAACUCUACGAGUUGAUGACACGGAGAUAUUAGAGAGAGACAACGCACAAAUCUUGUGCAAGUUAGAAUGUAUAGUUCCUCCCAGAUUCUUUGGCUCAAUUGAACAUCUUCCUGUACACCUUCCACAUAAAGCAAGGAUAGUUGGACCUCUACAAUGUCGAUGGAUGUACCCUUUUAAAAGGUAUCUAUGAACUCUUACAAGGAUGAUUGGAAAUAAAGCUAGUGUUGAGGGUUCCAUUUGUGAAGCAUACUUGACGACAUAGUCAAACAACUGUUUUCUCAUUAUUUUGAACCUCAUGUCAUGACACGUAAUCAUACCGUAGACCAUAGUGAUGAUGGUGGAGAUAAGGAAGAUAUUGAAGGAAAUUUAUCAACAUUCUCCCUUCAAAGUCUACUAUGGGGAGAAGCAAAAAAAAAGGAUUUAUCCCUCGAAGAAACAAAGGUUGCCAAAACUUAUACCUUACUAAAUUGUGAGGAGGUUGAGACAUUUGUAAUGUAAUAGAAGUUAAUUUUAUUUUCUUAAUAAUAUAACAAUAUCCUUAAAUCACGAGUUUUAAAUUGAACUUAUUU